rnacentral:rRNA from 2 species
CUUGGGAGAAGGUGGAUUCGGCCACACUGGGACUGAAGACACGGCCCAGACUCCUACGGGAGGCAGCAGUAGGGAAUCUUCCGCAAUGGACGAAAGUCUGACGGAGCAACGCCGCGUGAGCGAUGAAGGCCUUCGGGUCGUAAAGCUCUGUUGUCAGGGAAGAACAAGUACCGGAGUAACUGCCGGUACCUUGACGGUACCUGACCAGAAAGCCACGGCUAACUACGUGCCAGCAGCCGCGGUAAUACGUAGGUGGCAAGCGUUGUCCGGAAUUAUUGGGCGUAAAGCGCGCGCAGGCGGUUCCUUAAGUCUGAUGUGAAAGCCCCCGGCUCAACCGGGGAGGGUCAUUGGAAACUGGGGAACUUGAGUGCAGAAGAGGAGAGCGGAAUUCCACGUGUAGCGGUGAAAUGCGUAGAGAUGUGGAGGAACACCAGUGGGCGAAGGCGGCUCUCUGGUCUGUAACUGAACGCCUGAGGCGCGAAAAGCGUGGGGGAGCGAAACAGGAAUUAGA